GCCUACGGCCAUCCCACCCUGGUAACGCCCGAUCUCGUCUGAUCUCGGAAGCUAAGCAGGGUCGGGCCUGGUUAGUACUUGGAUGGGAGACCUCCUGGGAAUACCGGGUGGCUGUAGGCU
ensembl:rRNA 5S_rRNA 5S ribosomal RNA